AGCGGGGUAGAGAAAUGGUGUCUCGCAAGGCUCAUAACCUUGAGAAGGCGGUUCGAUUCCGUCCCCCGCAA
rnacentral:tRNA from 1 species